AUUGAACGCUGGCGGCAUGCUUUACACAUGCAAGUCGAACGGCAGCGCGGGCUUCGGCCUGGCGGCGAGUGGCGAACGGGUGAGUAAUACAUCGGAACGUGCCCAGUAGUGGGGGAUAGCUCGGCGAAAGCCGGAUUAAUACCGCAUACGACCUGAGGGUGAAAGCGGGGGAUCUUCGGACCUCGCGCUAUUGGAGCGGCCGAUGGCAGAUUAGCUAGUUGGUGGGGUAAAGGCCUACCAAGGCGACGAUCUGUAGCUGGUCUGAGAGGACGACCAGCCACACUGGGACUGAGACACGGCCCAGACUCCUACGGGAGGCAGCAGUGGGGAAUUUUGGACAAUGGGCGAAAGCCUGAUCCAGCAAUGCCGCGUGUGUGAUAAAGGCCUUCGGGUUGUAAAGCACUUUUGGCGGGAACGAAAAGGACUGUGCCAAUACCACGGUUCGAUGACGGUACCCGCAGAAUAAGCACCGGCUAACUACGUG
rnacentral:rRNA from 1 species